UCUUGUUGGUCCUUUGGAAAGAGAUAAUGAUAAUUAUUCUUAUAUACUAACGUGUCAAUGCGAACUGACAAAAUAUGUAGAAGGUUAUCCCUUAAUUUCCAAAAAAGCUGAUGAAGUAGCAAGAUCGUUUGUUAAUAAUUUUAUUCUCAGCCCACCAUCACGAGUCCAUAGGAGCUCUGGAAGUCACUCACAAACAUUUGAAUGCGUUUCUACGUAUUCAAACAGAGAAUCACCCGGAGAUGUGGAGUAAGUGGAUUCCUUUUUGGUGUUUCUCUUACAAUACAGGAGUUCAUACUGAAACAGAUUUCACCCCGUACGAGUUGGUGUUUGGUAAGAAAUGUUCUCUCCCUAGUAAUCUGACAAAUGAUGUAGAACCUCUUUAUAAUUAUGAGAGCUAUCCACAUGAAUUGAAAUACCGUUUGCAACUUUCUCAAAAAGAGGCUAGAAAUAAUUUGUUAAGAAGUAAGAUAAAUAGAAAGUAUGUGUAUGACAAAAAUAUUAAUCCUGUAAGCUAUAAGGAAAAUGAUUUAAUUUUAGUAAAAAAUAAUACACCUAGUAAUAAAUUAGAUAAUAUAUAUUUAGGCCCUUAUAAAGUUAUUAAGGACAUACCACCAAACGUAGAGAUAAUAAAUAAGUAUGGUAAAAUAGACAUUGUACAUAAAAACCGUACAAAACCUUAUUAUAAAACGUAAAAAAUAGAUUAUAUUUUAUCAAUUUGACUGUAAAAAAAAAAUAUAUUAUAUAAAUUCAUUUUUUUUUUCAAUAAGUGCGGUGAUGUGAGGUUAGACUAAGUACCUAUUUAAUCUUCUAUUAUGUUAAUCUUUGUACCACCUAUAUAAUUGUGUUAUUCCUUCAAAUAUAGUAGUAUUAUUCGAGCAUUCACUCGUUUCAUUUACCUGACUACGUCACAC